GGUAGGAGUUUGCGCAUGAGCAGAAGUGUCGGGAAAACUGGAGAAGGGUUCGGAGGCGGUAUUGACAGCUGUGGAGGCAGCCCGCGUUCCCGGCAUGCCCCGGGGCGGCGGGGUUGGCUCUAACGAAUUUGAAUGAGGAGCCUCAGCGCUUUCGGCGCCAUUUUCGAGUGAUGCCUGAUCUCAUCAAUCUAGCGGGAGAGACGGGAUAACCUGUCCGAGAUUAUAGCGCUACUAGGACUCCGCCGAAAAAUCACCAAAAAAAUCGCCAAAAAUUACUUUGAGCAAAGGGCAGUCCGUGGGGCUUCGCCAGGAUUGGCGCAGACGUCUUUGAAACAUGUCGCAAGGAUAAAAGCAAUCUGUGAAACUAUUGAUGUUUUCCUCCCGAAAAGUCUUAGCCCGGACAACUUAACGGUUUUGACCUUUAGGAGAGAGCCAAUUCUGGAGAACAACCUAACUUCUUUGAUUGAACACUCACAUAAUGCAUUGGAACAUGAUAGGAGAUUAAGCUGGGAGCAGGGGCUGGGAGAUUACUACUGCUUGUCAGCUGUUGUACAAAAUAGCAUCAAUAUGCAAUAAUGGUGGCCAAAGGAGCCUGCACCCACCAGCUUUUACAGACCAGGUAGGAAGGGCCCAACUGUCACUAUAACCUGUAUAUAGUAUAAUGAAUACACUCUUUG
rnacentral:lncRNA from 1 species